rnacentral:lncRNA from 7 species
AGUAGUAUUGGUGGGCCGGUAGUGACGCUAACACACACAUCUGAGGCCCAAGCUCCCCUGCUGCACGGUUUCUUGGAGCUUUUUUGCCCCACAGUUAAGAUUCCCCACGCAGAUUCACACCAUACCCCUGCAGACCGCGAGUUAUCGAAGCUCAUACAGCACAUCCAAUCAACCUGAAAGGCUGGCUGAGUUACCCGCAUCACUGCUUCACUUCAGUGCUUCACACCUUCGUCCUGAAGGAAGGACACAAAAAUGUUACUCUGAUUGUCUUUGGUUUCUUCAGUUUUUCAUCCCCCUUCGAGUUGCACAGGCACCGAAGUAAAGGUGAGCCCACCUGCCAGUCUCUGGGACCCAAGUUUGGCUGUGUUUGGCUGCUUCCAUCAUACUCCACACAACGAAAUUAGGUCAUGACUUUUUGCCUCCCAGAGCUCCUCUAUGCACUGACUGGAGGCACCUUGAAGCUUAGCACAGAAUACCACGCCGAAGCCUUAGGAAUGAAAAGCAAAUAACAGCCAUGGUUCGGUAGCGAAGCAGCGCUCACUCCUGUAAUUUCUGACCUUUCAUUUUGGACGUGCGCUUACAAAACGAAGCUGUCAGAAUCCCAUUUUCCUGCUCCAAGUGAAAGGCUAUUGUCUGGAUCGCAGCCUCCUCCAGCCCUCCUCCACGCAUGGCUCCGCGUUGUUUUCCUCCGUAGCUCAGGAGUUAUGAAAGCUUUUAGCCAAAGUGGCAUUUCCUCCUCCUCCGCUCUGCUGUUGUCACAGCUGAUUUUAUAGAACAAAUCUAAUUUUACCUUCAGCAAGCUUCGUUGGUGUUUGUUUUUAACAGCAACUCUUCCAAUGAUAGCAAAAAUGUUCUUUUACACCAAGGGUUCAUUUCUGUGGAGAAAAAGAUCCUUUUGCCUGGCUUUCUCCAUAGCCCACGUUUUCCUAAAAAUUGGAGUAGGUCUUCAAUUUAUAUGAAUACCUUGAACCUCAUAUUUACCUAGGGCAUUAAGUGUAUCAGCACAAAAAUGAAAAUAAACAUUUCUUUUUCUUUAUCUAGGUAAUCAUAGAAUCAUUAAGGUUGGAAAAGGCCAAUAAGACCACCCAG